GACGAACGCUGGCGGCGUGCUUAACACAUGCAAGUCGAACGGCAAGGCCCCCAACCUGGUGGGGGUGCUCGAGUGUCGAACGGGUGAGUAACAUGUGGGUGAUCUUCCCUGUACUUCGGGAUUAGCGUGGGAAACUUUAUCUAAUACCGGAUUGGACCAUGCGUUAGUGUCUCAUGGUGGUACAAUUAUUGUUUUGUUGCAUGAUCAGCUCUCGGCCUAUCAGCUUGUUGGUGGGGUAAUGGCCUACCAAGGCGUCGACUGGUUGCCGGACUGAGAGGGUGGACGCCCAGAUUGGGACAGAGAGACGGCACAGACACCGGAGGGAGGAGGCGGUAGGGAAGAAUGAACAAUGGGAGCAAGACUGAGGCAGCGAGGGCGAGUGGGGGAGGACGGCGUUCGGGUUGGAAACUCCUUUCGUGAGGAACGAAGCCACACCUUUUUUGGGUGUGGUGACGGUAACUUGGUUAAGAAGCACCGGCUAACUACGUG
rnacentral:rRNA from 1 species